rnacentral:lncRNA from 10 species
UGCAGCUAAGCUUCUGUGUUAACCUCCUGUCAUCGUCUCUUUCAUGGGCAGCCCAGUAAGCCACACCUCCUGAGACUCAUGCGCUUGUACAGUCUUCUCCUCUUGAAGCUGGGCUGGCCCUGUGACUGUUUUGAGCAAUGCAUACAAUGUGGUGAAAAUUAUUUCUGGGACUCCUGAGUCCAGGCACCAAGAUCAGGAAGCUUCUCCUCUUGUAUUUAGGGGAAGCUGGCCACAUUGUAAGAAGUCGGACUAUGCUGAGACUGUCAUGAUGACAGAAAACCCAAGCUAGCCAGGUGGAGAGAUCACACAGAAAGAGAUGCCUGGCCAGCUGUUACCUGAUAUGCCAUCAUAUAUUAAUCCAAGGAACAAUACUGACGAAUUUCACGGACAAAAUACUAAGAAGGAAAUCAAGUGAAUCAAGCGGAGAAGAAAGACAGUGGAAAAAGAAAACUGAAAAUAAAAAUAUUUUCUAGACCCCUUGAAAUAAAGUUUGAAAAACCACAGUGCUUUGCAAAAUAUCACAUUCAAUUGCUAGCUAAAAAAAAAAUUCAUUGGAAGUGCCAUUGGGACAGCAGAGGAUGAGGAGGUCUGGUAAGGUCUCUGGCUGGUCUUGUAAACCAUACCCCAGGGUUGGGGCCAGGGUUUUUAGGCUCAGGCCUCUCUGAUAUGGUAGGAAG